rnacentral:rRNA from 1 species
UACGAAGGGGGCUAGCGUUGCUCGGAAUCACUGGGGCGUAAAGGGUGCGUAGGCGGGUCUUUAAGUCAGGGGUGAAAUCCUGGAGCUCAACUCCAGAACUGCCUUUGAUACUGAAGAUCUUGAGUUCGGGAGAGGUGAGUGGGAACUGCGAGUGUAGAGGUGAAAUUCGUAGAUAUUCGCAAGAACACCAGUGGCGAAGGCGGCUCACUGGCCCGAUACUGACGCUGAGGCACGAAAAGCGUGGGGGAUCAAACGG